rnacentral:rRNA from 1 species
GACGAACGCUGGCGGCGUGCCUAACACAUGCAAGUCGAACGGGGAUUACGAGGAGCUUGCUUUUUGUAAUUCUAGUGGCGGACGGGUGAGUAACGCGUGAGCAACCUGCCCUUCAGUGGGGGAUAACACAGGGAAACCUGUGCUAAUACCGCAUAACACAUAUUGAUGGCAUCAUGAAUAUGUCAAAGAUUUAUCGCUGAAGGAUGGGCUCGCGUCCAAUUAGGUAGUUGGUGAGGUAACGGCCCACCAAGCCGACGAUUGGUAGCCGGGCUGAGAGGCUCGACGGCCACAUUGGGACUGAGACACGGGCCCAGACUCCUACGGGAGGCAGCAGUGGGGAAUAUUGCACAAUGGGGGAAACCCUGAUGCAGCAACGCCGCGUGAAGG